rnacentral:tRNA from 1 species
GUUUUAAUAGUUUAAAAAAAACAUUAGUUUUGUAAACUAAAAAUAAAAAAAAAAUUUUUUUAAAACU